UGGCGGAAUUAAAAAAACACAAAAGCAUAUACAAAUACAAUAUUGAACAUUGUGGUAUACUAGGGACCUCCUAGACACCUUAGUAGAACAAAAGAUAGUAAAAAAAUAAAAAUGAGACAUAUUACAUGUGUGAUAUUUGAAAAGAAUAGUAUUGCUGGUGUGUUUGGUAUGACGGAAAAUAUUUUCUGGUUCGUACUGUUAAGUAUCAUGAUGAUUGAUCUUGUUUUUUCUAUUCUUGACAAGGGAAACAAGAGAGUGGCCAAUUUUCUCACCCAUCAUGGUGGAAACAUGUUUCUUCUCUUUAGGAAUUAUACUUCCUUUUUUGGGAGUGAAUGGAAAUACGCCAUUUUUGCUUUCUUCGAUUUUCUCUGCUUUUCCCUUUCCUUUGCCUUCCUUAUCUGCCAUAUUUUUCUUGCUCUCUUCUUGUUGUUAUUGCUUUGU
rnacentral:lncRNA from 1 species